UACGGAGGGAGCUAGCGUUGUUCGGAAUUACUGGGCGUAAAGCGCACGUAGGCGGUUAUUCAAGUCAGAGGUGAAAGCCCGGGGCUCAACCCCGGAACAGCCUUUGAAACUAGAUGACUGGAAUCUUGGAGAGGUCAGUGGAAUUCCGAGUGUAGAGGUGAAAUUCGUAGAUAUUCGGAAGAACACCAGUGGCGAAGGCGACUGACUGGACAAGUAUUGACGCUGAGGUGCGAAAGCGUGGGGAGCAAACAG
rnacentral:rRNA from 1 species